GGCGAGUGAGCGGCAAAAGCUCAAAUUUGAAAUCUGGUACCUUCGGUGCCCGAGUUGUAAUUUGGAGAGGGCAACUUUGGGGCCGUUCCUUGUCUAUGUUCCUUGGAACAGGACGUCAUAGAGGGUGAGAAUCCCGUGUGGCGAGGAGUGCGGUUCUUUGUAAAGUGCCUUCGAAGAGUCGAGUUGUUUGGGAAUGCAGCUCUAAGUGGGUGGUAAAUUCCAUCUAAAGCUAAAUAUUGGCGAGAGACCGAUAGCGAACAAGUACAGUGAUGGAAAGAUGAAAAGAACUUUGAAAAGAGAGUGAAAAAGUACGUGAAAUUGUUGAAAGGGAAGGGCAUUUGAUCAGACAUGGUGUUUUGUGCCCUCUGCUCCUUGUGGGUAGGGGAAUCUCGCAUUUCACUGGGCCAGCAUCAGUUUUGGUGGCAGGAUAAAUCCAUAGGAAUGUAGCUUGCCUCGGUAAGUAUUAUAGCCUGUGGGAAUACUGCCAGCUGGGACUGAGGACUGCGACGUAAGUCAAGGAUGCUGGCAUAAUGGUUAU
rnacentral:rRNA from 1 species